AUACAAUAAAACAUACAUGCAAAACAAAUUUUAUUUAAACCUAAAACUAUAGUUUAGUUAGAAUUUCCUGUUGCAACACGAUUUAGUAAAUAUAAGGUUAUUUAAACUAACCCCACCCGAAAAAUCGGGAGAUACCAUUCUUUAAAGAGUGUGUUUUAAAACACUCUUUAAAGAAUGGUAAGAAGUGAAAUUCUUUUCGCUCGUUUAUAGCUGGCUUUAAAUAAAAGAUGUGUAAUCUCACAAAAACUUUUUGUGUGACAUUAAGAGAAAGUUUUAAUGUUUAAUUUUAGGGUUAUCUUACAACCAUUUUAAUAAGGCUAAAACUACCUUUUAAUUUUUGUUUUUAAAAACAAACCGUUUGUUUUUAAAAACAAAAAUUAUCUAAAUUGAACCCAAUUUAAAACCAAUUUAAAUUUUUAAAUAUUUUAUUAUGCUAAAAUUAGUAGGACAAAAUAUUAUAAAUAGAAAUAUUUUAAAAUUUAAAGAAGCAGUUAUCAAACUUUAAAAAGUUUUGUAUGUUUAACAAAAACUUUGCUAAAAGAAUUUCUUUUUAGUAGGGCCUGCCCUAUGAUUAAUUUUAAAUGGCCGCAGUAUUAUGACUGUGCGAAGGUAGCAUAAUCAUUUGUUCUCUAAUUAAGUUCUUGGAUGAAAGGCCUAACAAAUUUUAUUUAAUGAUUAUUGCUAAUUUUGAAAUUUCUUUAAAGGUGAAAAAUCCUUUUGAAAUAAAAAGAAGGGAAGACCCUAGGAGCUUCCUUUAUUUAAAAGGUUAAUUGGGGCAGUUAAGGCUAAAAUUAAAAUUACCUUUGAUUAAACAAAGAUCCAAAUAGUAUUGAUUUAAAGAAAAAGUUACCCUAGGGCUAACAGCGUAAUAAUUUAUACUAGUUCUUAUAGUAUAAAAAGUUUGCGACCUCGAUGUUGAAUUAUUUUUCAUUUCGGCGCAAAAGUUGAGAUGGAGGGUCUGUUCGACCCUUAAAUUUAUCCAUGAUUUGAGUUCAGAUCGGCGAGAGCCAGAUCGGUUCCUAUCUUUUACGAAUAUAAAAAUUUUGGUAGUACGAAAGGACCCCAAAAGAUUUA
rnacentral:rRNA from 1 species